rnacentral:rRNA from 1 species
AGCGAACGCUGGCGGCAGGCUUAACACAUGCAAGUCGAACGGUCCUUCGGGAUAGUGGCGGACGGGUGAGUAACACGUGGGAACGUACCCUUAGGUUCGGAACAACACAGGGAAACUUGUGCUAAUACCGGAUAAGCCCUUCGGGGGAAAGAUUUAUCGCCUUUGGAGCGGCCCGCGUCUGAUUAGCUUGUUGGUGAGGUAAUGGCUCACCAAGGCUACGAUCAGUAGCUGGUCUGAGAGGAUGGCCAGCCACACUGGGACUGAGACACGGCCCAGACUCCUACGGGAGGCAGCAGUGGGGGAUCUUGCGCAAUGGGCGAAAGCCUAACGCAGCCAUGCCGCGUGGAUGAUGAAGGUCUUAGGAUUGUAAAAUCCUUUCACCGGGGACGAUAAUGACGGUACCCGGAGAAGAAGCCCCGGCUAACUUCGUGCCAGCCGCCGCAGUAA